GGGGCUAUAGCUCAGUUGGUAGAGCAGUUGCAUGGCAUGUAACGAGUCGGCGGUUCAACUCCGCCUAGCUCCA
rnacentral:tRNA from 1 species